AAAAGAAGAGAGAGGCUUCCCUCUGUGUCUUUUGCGAAUACUUGGAGAGGUACUAUUUCCUCAUUUGCUUUGCAGUUUAUAUACAUAACGAAAUACCUGCUUCCCAAAGUUCGCCAAACCAAGUCAGUUUUUCUGACUGGAUGAAAGCAAGGCCAGAACUUUACAGCAUACUACGGAGGUGCGUAUAAAUUUAGUUCCAUGAAAUCUUAAAUAUUUUAUUAUAUAGACAUUAUAAUGGUUAGAUAUGAAUAUAAUCUAGUUGAUUUUGGUUUUUUUUAUUUAACCUAUAAUAGUUGUUCACACAAUUCCAUCAAAUCUUGAAUUGGAAUGUCAAACAAGAAAUAUCAAGCACUAAUGGAAUUUCCAACAUUUUUUCUAAAUCAAAUGUGUUAUUUUUUUAAAGAAAAAAAUGUGUUAUUUCUAAUGAAAUGACACUGUCCAAAUAUCUAGUCAAAUCUCUUUGAUUCCAAAUAAGAUAUGAAGAACAAUAACUUGUCUCUAUUUAAUUGUUUACCUAAAAUAAAACCUAACUUUAGUUCACGAAGAUAUAAAGAAGUUUUAUGAUAAAUAAUAAAAUAGACGUUGUGUUUAGUUAAUUAGUUCAUAAUGCACAGAAGCAUCACAGGGAUAACUUGAGUGGGUAAUGAGGGUGCAAUUUGGGGUUGAGUCUAGGGCUCAUGAAGUGGAGUCAUUUAUGUUCUUUUAGGCACACUCAAUUCUUGUCUUUAGGAGUUUGAAGUUUGAGUCGAAGUAGUUUGGGAUUUGAAGUUUGGGGUUUGAAGUUUGUUUUCAUUUUUACAAUGUACACUAUCUCCGACUUCAAAGAGUUUGGGGUUUGGGUUUGUGGAGUGAAGUGGAAUAGUGGAUCCAAAGUAAUUUGUGGCUUCACGUGAUUGAUGAAGCAAAAUUUCACAUUUACUACACACUCUCUAUUCAUAUCUUCAGAAGGUUGGAGCUGAUCCCUAUUUAUAAGGGCUGGGAAGCAGUCAUGUCCUCCAUGGGUCGAGAAUUUCUCUUAAGUGGGUUUGGGACAGGUAGAAAAGAGGUUCUGACUGAUUACGCAUGGGUAAUAAACUCAAAUCUCGAGGUAGAAAUAGACGGACAAGUUCAGAUAUUUCAUAUUAUCUCAUCAUCUAUUAUCUCACAUGAUUCUAACCUUAUAAAAUUAUUUACUAUGAGUGAAACUAGAAGAGAUAGAAAAUGGGGGAAUCAAGUGAUCGACCCCUCUAAACAUAUAUUAGAUGUGUUUAUAUACACUUGAGUUUAAGAUUAGAUCUUAACUGAAUUCAGUUGAGAUCUAAUCUAUACUAACUAAUUACAAUUAGUAUUAUAAGGGCUAAAAUGUAAUUACAAACAAAUGAAAACAAAUAGCCUUAUUUAUUAUUACUAAUAUUUACAAUUCAUGUUAUUCAAUCCAGGGUUCUCCUAUAGUCCUAUCCUAGCAGAGUGCAUACUUAUGACUAUGCCAUAGAGGUGUAGUGGUCUGUGCCAACACCAUGUUAUAGUGCCACUAUAUAAUGGCCUAUAUCGGGUCUUUAAAAAAAAAUCUUGUACUCAUAAUACUCAAACUGAAAAAAGUACAGGAUAAUUGAUAACGUGCAUGUUUUUAUACAAUAACACUCUUUGAAAGAAAAGAACUUCUUCAAAGACAAGAGUGGUCAGGGAUUAUUCUUUUGCCGAAAGAAAUUCUAAGAAACUCUAAGAAGUCGCUGGCUGGAAUCUAAAAAUGAUACCAUUUCCAAAAGAAUUCGCUGGCUGGAGAAGUCACAGAUCAAAGAAGUCGAUCUGGACCCAAACCAUAUCUUCACUCUAAUGAAGGGUGGAUUAUUAAGUGGAUAUAGACCCAUAUCCACCCAAGAUCCUAAUAGGUUAUAGCAACAUAGGGUUAGGUCACUUCUAUGAUCUCUCCCACCACUCCAAGAAGUUAGUGUAAGUGUGCAACUAGAGAGUCAUUAUAUCAAAUAUACUAUGUUUAACCCCACUGUAUUGGGAUUCUAAUCGAUCUUCUAAUUAAACAAGGUGUGAUUCUCUCUGUACCCAUCCUUUCUUUGAAAUUUUCUUCAUUGAACACAACUUUGCAUCCCUUCUUGAUCCACUCUUAGAUCUUCUGCUAGCUCCUCUUCUUUUUCAUGUACUCUCCUUAUACCCUUCUUCUACUUCUAAACAUGUCAUUGUGAUCCCCAAGAGUGAUCAAUGAAGCCCCUAACAUGCAUUUUGCCACAUUUUAUAUUUUUCAUUUUUAUAAUUGCAGGAAAGGACAUGCUUACAUUAAUGUAUAAAAUAUCAGAUGCUCUCAGAUUUAUGUGUGUAUAUUGAAUAUGGUGAAUUUAUAAAUUACAAGUUUAUUCUAGGUUUAUGUAAGAUUUUAUAAAUCAAGGAUUUCCAUGUCAUAUCUGCAAUUCAAAAGUGACCAUCUACUUGCACAGAUUGCUCAGACGAGACCCUAUGGGUGCCUUGGGUUAUUCAAGCAUAAAAUAUUCUUUAACCAAAACUGAUCAUGGUCGACCAUGUGAGAUCGACAUUGUUGUUGCAACUAGAAAAGGAGAUGUUCUUGGAAAAAAAACUGUUUUAAAAAGCGACCACUUUCCUGGUUGUCAAGCCCUUUCUUUGCCAGAGAAGGUAGAAGGUGCACCCAAUUUCAGAGGAGUUCCAGGUUUUCCAGUUUACGGUGUUGCUAAUCCCACAGUUGAUGGUAUUAAGAAUGUUGUUAGGAAGAUAAGUGACAGUAGAAAUGGGUGUCCAAUUUUAUGGCACAAUAUGAGAGAAGAACCAGUUAUCUAUAUAAAUGGGAAACCUUUUGUGCUCCGUGAGGUAGAAAGACCUUACAAAAACAUGUUGGAAUACAGUGUAAGUGUGGGUGAAGUGGUAUUAAUUUUUAAUAAACAAUACAUCCUCUUUUUAAUCCUGUGGGAAUACAAUUUUCGUCACUUCAUUUGUGAGUUGUGAUAUUUAGUAGUUUUAUUUUACUAUAAUUGACUUUACAGGGAAUUGAUUGUGAAAGAGUAGAGAAAAUGGAAGCUCGACUGAAAGAUGACAUUUUACGGGAAGCAUGUCAAUAUGAGGGUUCUAUAAUGGUAAUCAAUGAAACUGAAAAUAAUGAGAUUGUUGAAGUUUGGGAACAUGUUGAUUCUGAAGCUGUUCAAACCCCACUUGAAGUAUAUAAGCAUCUAGAAGCUGAAGGUUUUCCAAUUAAAUAUGCACGUGUUCCUAUCACUGAUGGUAAGGCUCCAAAAAGUUCGGAUUUUGACAGAAUGGCAGUCAAUAUUUGCUCAGCUUCAAAGGAUGCGGCUUUUGUUUUUAAUUGCCAGGUAGAAUUUCAUUAUAAUACACUAAUACAGAUGCACUUGUGUUUUGAUUCAUUUUUAAUCACAGCCAUUUCCAUUUUGGCUACUUUUUAAUUGUGACCUUUCUCUCUCUUUACAGAUGGGGAGGGGGAGAACUACUACAGGUACUGUUAUUGCUUGUCUUUUGAAGCAUCGGAUUGAUUACGGAAGACCAUUUAAAAUGGUUGACAAGGAUGUCUUCCUUGGAAAUUUAGAAGAAUCAUCGAGUGACGAUGAAGAUAUCUUAGAUAGUCCUACAUCAAAGAAAACUCCACCUGCUUUUGGAAUUCAUGACAUUCUUUUACUGAGGAAGAUAACCAGAAUGUUUGAUAAUGGGGUUGAAUGCAGAGAAGUACUAGAUGCUGUAAUUGAUAAGUGUUCAGUCUUGCAAAAUAUACGUGAAGCUGUUCUUCAUUACAGAAGGCAGUUGAAACAACAGCAUGUAGAACCGAGAGUAAAGAGAUUCGUUCUAAAUCGUGGUGCAGAGUAUUUGGAGAGGUACCUGCGUUUGAUUGCGUUUUCCGCAUAUCUUGGCAGUGAGGCGUUUGAUGGUUUUUGUGGGCAAGGUGAAAGUGCAAUAGCAUUUAAAACAUGGUUGUAUCAGAGACCAGAUCUCCAAGCUACAAAGUGGAGUGUACGUUUACGACCUGGUCGUUUUUUCACUGAUCCAGUAAUGUUUCCUUCUUCUUCUAUUAGUUAUCGCUGUUUUUCUCCAUUGUUGUCAUUUUUUUCCAAGAGAUGCAUAUAUAUAUAAUUGUAUAUAUCAUUGUCUUUGACAUCAAAUUUUCAUUUAACAGGGUUCAAAUCCAAGAGUACAUGUAUUCGAGCAUGAUGACAUUAUUACAGAGGCUGUAGUAAAAGCUCGCAAUGGUUCUGUUCUGGGUAAAGGAUCAAUAUUAAAAAUGUAUUUUUUUCCUGGACAGAGAACAUCUGAUUCCAUGCAUAUUAUUGGUGCACCCCAUGUUUACAAGGUAUUUGAGCAAAAAUAUUCUGUACAUUUCAUUUGCGUGAAUAUGAAAUCAUGCAAUUUCUCUAGUAGUAAUAUGAAUAUCUAGUAUUCAAAGAGAUUCUUUAUUUGAAACAAAACCAAUUACCUCAAUCAUUGGACAUUGUUUUUUUUGGUUGUUUCUAAGUUUCCAAUGGAUACUUUUUUGCUUAAUGUCAAUUCAACAGAAGUUUUUUUUUGUUCUUAGUUCUUAUAUUUACAGUUUACUCUCAGGUAUUCAGUAUUGGAUUUUUUUACAUGCAAAGUAAUGCCAUUUUCUCUGUAUAAUCUCUUUUUUCUUAAACUAUUAACAGGCAGAUAGUUAUCCAGUGUAUAGCAUGUCUACUCCAACAAUUGAUGGUGCCAAGGAAAUGUUAUCACAUUUGGGUGCCAAUUCUACAGAAAACGAAAGAACUUCCCCGAAAGUAAUAGUGACUGAUUUGAGAGAAGAAGCAGUUGUCUAUGUAAAUGGAACACCUUUUGUUCUUAGAGAGCUAGAUCAGCCUGUUGAUACUCUCAAACAUGUAGGAAUCAUUGGAGAAAUGGUGGGUAUUUCUUUUGGAAAAGGGUACAGUUUUGGAAACCGAUGUUGAAAAUUUGUUAAUUUGUCAGGUGGAAAACAUGGAAGCAAGGAUGAAAGAUGAUAUUCUCUCUGAAAUCAAACAAUCUGGUGGCAGAAUAUUGUUGCAUCGUGAGGAAUUUAAUCCAGUAAGCGAACAUUCUACGGUAAUAGGUUAUUGGGAGAAUGUUCCAGAGGAUGGUGUGAAAACACCUGCAGAAGUAUAUAAUAAUCUUAAAGAUGAAGGUUACAACUGUCAGUAUAGAAGAAUACCUCUGACAAGAGAACGGGAAGCAUUAGCCAGGGAUGUUGAGGCAAUUCAGCGUUGUAAGGACUUGUAAGUUUCGCUAUUUAGUACUUUUAUAACUCAUAAGCUAUGUCCUGUUUUAUCCAUCGUGCAUUUCUACAUUUUGUGAUCCAAUUUUACUUGAGGUGGUUUCUUCUACAGAUCUGCUGGAUGCUACCUUUUUGUUUCCCACACAGGAUUCGGGGGUGUUGGUUAUGCUAUGGCUAUUACUUGUCUUGGUCUUAAUGCUGCUGAUAGAAAUCUCAUGGCAAAGACAUCAUCAGGAAAAUCUAGUGGAACAGAUGAUUUUUCGUCGGUGGCUGUGCAUUCAGAAUCACCAUCAUCUCAAUUUUCUGAUGAUGAAGCACUUAAACAGGGUGAAUACCGGGACAUACUUAACCUCACCAGAGUCCUCUUACAUGGACCGAAAAGCAAGGUGGAUGUUGAUGCAGUUUUAGAAAGGUAUUUUGUCCAUAAAGAAAUAAUUGAAAUAUUAAAACAAAAUUGAAAUAUUCUUACUUGGAUUUUUUUGUAUGCAAAUGAACAGAUGUUCUGGUGCUGGAAAUAUACGUCAUGACAUAUUGCAUUACAAAAAGAAAUUUGAGAAAUGUGGUACUGGUGAUGACGAGACCCGUUCCACUCUUCUGGAUAUGGGCAUUAAAGCUCUAAGGUUUGUUGUACUUUUGUUGUACGAAAAUCAAAUGGAUAUUUCUAUUUCAUUAAUCAUUAGAAGAGAAAAAUCAAUAACCAAAUGCGUGUCGUUUAAAUAACUCUUAUUUGGACCUUGCAGGCGAUACUUUUUAUUGAUCACCUUCAGGUCUUACCUCUUCUCCGCCAAUCCCUUGGAAAUUGGAUUUGCAUCAUGGAUGAAAGCACGACCUGAGCUACGUCACCUUUGUGAUAAUUUGAGAUUCGACAGAUA
rnacentral:lncRNA from 1 species